rnacentral:rRNA from 1 species
AGAGUUUGAUCAUGGCUCAGAAUCAACGCUGGCGGCGUGCCUAACACAUGCAAGUCGAACGCGAAAGUGGAGCAAUCCAUGAGUAGAGUGGCAAACGGGUGAGUAACGCGUGGGUGACCUGCCUUCGAGUGGGGGAUAACGUUCCGAAAGGGACGCUAAUACCGCAUGACAUCCGGCCUUUGAAGAGGCGGAGAUCAAAGCUGGGGAUCGCAAGACCUAGCGCUCGAUGAGGGGCCCGCGUCUGAUUAGCUAGUUGGUGGGGUAACGGCUCACCAAGGCAACGAUCAGUAUCCGGCCUGAGAGGGCGGACGGACACACUGGGACUGAGACACGGCCCAGACUCCUACGGGAGGCAGCAGUGGGGAAUUGUUCGCAAUGGGCGCAAGCCUGACGACGCAACGCCGCGUGGAGGAUGAAGAUCUUCGGGUCGUAAACUCCUUUCGAUCGAGACGAACAGCCUUCGGGUAAACAAUCCGGAGGUCUGACGGUACCGAGAGAAGAAGCCCCGGCUAACUCCGUGCCAGCAGCCGCGGUA